UACGAAGGGGGCUAGCGUUGCUCGGAAUCACUGGGCGUAAAGCGCACGUAGGCGGCUUUCUAAGUCAGGGGUGAAAUCCUGGAGCUCAACUCCAGAACUGCCUUUGAUACUGGAGAGCUUGAGUCCGGAAGAGGUGAGUGGAACUCCGAGUGUAGAGGUGAAAUUCGUAGAUAUUCGGAAGAACACCAGUGGCGAAGGCGGCUCACUGGUCCGGUACUGACGCUGAGGUGCGAAAGCGUGGGGGAGCAAACAGGG
rnacentral:rRNA from 1 species